rnacentral:lncRNA from 1 species
UGCUGCGAGUGACGCCCGUGGGGCUCUGCGUGGCGGCGCUGGUCAUCAUGCUCAAGAACGCGCAGGACAACGACUAUGGCGCCAUCUCCUACGCCGACCUCACCGCCUUCAAGUAAAGCCAGUCUCCCUCUCCUCUUCCUUCAUUCCACGGCUGACGGCUGUAACAUGCCUUGGUUUUCAUGGCGUCCACGAACAGGUAUUUGGUGUACGCUAAUGGAGUUUGCGCGGCGUACUCCCUGUUCUCGGCGUUCUACGUCGCCGUGCCACGCCCCAUGACGCUGUCCCGUUCGUGGACUCUCUUCUUCUUAGACCAGGCAAGCAUUCUAAUCCCACUCUGUCUGUUGCAGAAAGCCUUUCAAUAUUCUUCUUAGUGUCUCUAAUCCUGUUUAUAUCAACACCUCAAAGCUUUAAAGGGAAUCAGAAAUUAAUUUCCAAGAUUGCCUUAAAAGGAAAAGAAAAACAGAGGAAAUGAUAUCUUACAGACGAACAACAAAUUGAAGCAUCAAUUCUCCAAUCCGAAAGACCAGUUCAUCAGCUCCAAUCUUGAAGAUUGAGAAAAGAGUCUUCUGAAUCAUAUGGAUUCUUAUUAUUUUCUGGAGUCUACAAUCAAGAAAAAUAAAGCUAUUAGGCUGCACAUGAAUCAUAAAAAUGAAGCAUUCCUACAGCAAGUAGGCCAAGAAAGGAAAGGAUAAAGACGAGCAUGAGAUGAUUGAGUGAGAGAUGAGAUAAUUGUCAUGAUCUAAUCCAAUAGAUCAGCAACCUAAUAACUUCCAUAAGACGGAUCUUAAACCAUGUAAUCCAUCUAAUCUUAAAUACUAAUUCAAUCAUCCAUCUAGUCCCCAAAAUAUGUGUGUAUUUACUUGCUAGAUUCAUAGUCUGCACAGCUACUUCCAAGCUCUCACAUGUGUUUCAAGGACUGCACGCUGCCUCCUUGUAACUGAGAUGCUUUGUGGCAGGUGUUGACAUACGCAAUCCUGGCAGCCGGAACGAUGUCGGCCGAGCUAAUGUACUUGGCACACUACGGGGACGUAAAGGUAACGUGGAGCAAAGAGUGCAAUGUCUUCGGCAGCUUCUGCAAGAGGGCGACGACCUCUGUUGGCAUCACCUUCGCGUCGGUGGCGUGUUAUGUGCUGCUCUCCCUCGUCUCCUCUUACCGCCUCUUCAGCGCUUACGAGACCCCCAUCCCUUUCAUCAGCAGCAAGGGCCUGGAGAUCGCGUCCUUCCCUCACUGAAGAGAGAUCGCAUCCCUGUCUGUAAGCAGACAUCAGAUAAUAGUAUGGCUUAACAGUAGAGGAAAAGACACUGAAGAAUCUACUGUUUGCACUAGCAACUCAGUUCUGCGAAUAAAGUUAGUUCUUGUUCCUGCAUGAAAUAGUGAUCUGCCCAGUUUGUCUUUGUUACAGAUUCUAGAAUCCUAUCUGACAUUGUUGCAGAAUUGUUUGUGUGAUGAUUAUGACAUGCUAAAAACCUUUGGCUCAAUGAGGGGUAAUUGGUCACCAAUGUGACUAACAAAUGAUACAGUUCAUUACAAUUGAAAGCUAGAAUCUUGCUGCAUGUUAGGUUGUUACUAUGGACAAUUAUUGAUGCAAGAAUUGAUGUAUUAGCCACUUAAAACAGUGGAACAUCACAUCUAAACUAAAGAAGAACAAGAUUACAUGAAUUGUUUCAAUGUGUAUAUGCAAAUUUGAGAAAAAGGAAAAUGAAAAAAAAGUUCCUUCUUGUCAUCAAGAAUUUGCACAUGUAAUAACUAACUAUGUGAACCUUUAUAUGCUCCAAAAUAAAAAACAAUGGGAUAAAUAGUUAGAUAAAAGGUUUGGAAAACUCAUCAACUAUUUGUUUUUGUACUAAAACUACCUUAUAACUUAAAGAAGCUUUCAAGUAGUUUAUUAAUCAUAUAGAUGAAAACAAGCAAAUAACUCAUGUUAAACAAGGGAGAUUAAUGAAAUACAUAGAACUAAAGAAAAGGAUUUAAAUUGUUUUAAGAUUAAAUGGAGAUGGCAAAAUGAAAGAACAAAGAUUAAUCCUAAUACAUGUUGGUCAUUCAGCCCUACACCAUAAGUGGACUGACAAUUCUUACCAACUCAAACUUCUACAGUCAAUAGCAUUUAUAUCAUUUCUUCCAUAUCUGAGGUAGACUUGUGAAAAAUAAAAUUUGUUCGUAGAGCAAAUAUGGAGAAAACUACUCUUUUAGAAGUAACAUAAAAAUAGGGAAAGGAAGGCCAAACUUUAGGAUCAGGGAAUAUGAUGAACUACUCACUAUCCAUCAUAAGGAACAGUGUUGGUCCGUUGAUAUAUUUAAAGUAAUACUACGAACUAUUUCUUUCUAUCCUUUAGGAACUAAUGCUGUAGCAGUAUGUGUUUUGGUUGCUGAAGUAAUGCCAUGAAAGGCACUUCUCAUUGUCCAUCAAACAGCAAUGCUGGUUGCUGAUAUAUCUGAAAUAAAGGGUGAUGACUGUAUCAAUAAGCAUUUUGGUUAAUGAUAUUUCAGCUACCUAUCACAGGAAAUGAACCAUUAUUGCUAAUUAUACAUGGAUGUCAGAUUUCACAAGAAGCUGAUGACUAAAUAGACAAUUGGCAAUUGAAAAACCACUAUACAGACAGCAAACUGAGACAGAAACCUCACUGAUACCACUGCUCAUUGCAAUUGAAAGAGACAGAAUGGAAAUAAAGACAAUGGUAAACAGGAAAAGAACAUUGAACACAGUCAUGCAACAAUGCGAGAUGUCCUAUUUAAGCUCAGCAAAUGGAAAAAGAAGAUAGAUAGUACUGCCUCUUGCUAACCAAGUAAUUAUGGGGUCCAGGAAAAGAAUCAGAAAAGGAUGGAAUUGGCUUAACAACUUUUUGCAUCAAUCAACUGUGAUUUCAGACAGGUAACAAAGUGAUACAUGGGAAAGUGACAGCCAACAGUUACCAGUAUUUCAUUGAUGAGAACUUUACUACCGGCUCUUUAUCAGAAGUCAGCGGACAAAGCUGGUCCCUUAUCCUACUCUACCCUUCCAGUGAUUUCAUUGUUCCUUCAAGAUAGCAACUGGCAUAUGGACCACCUAUUGUCCUCUUCUCAGUUCCCUCAACACAGGGAAAAAGAGCAAUCUACACUAGAAAAUAAAUGUGCUGGCUGGCUAAACUUGCUUUCUCUAAAGGGAAGAAGAUGACCUAAACUUAAGACCAAGCACAGUGGUGGCGUUAGCUUCCCACACGAUCUCUAUCUUAUGCAUUCAAGUCUAUUUCUGACUUGAGAGGUUGUUGCAUCAUCACUUCAGAAGUAUGGCUGAGUGACCCUUGUAAACCUACUUCAGACGUUAGGAACAAUGCAUAAUGGUAUCUAUGAAUUAAAACAAGACUAAGAGAUCUAGCAAAUUUUCUGGUACCGCUGUUAUAAAUUGACGAAGUUGAUGUGACAAACCUGCGUGUCACAUCAUCGAGGGAUACUCAAAACUUUCAUCAAGAAGAAAAGUAUCAAAUAUUGAGGGUGCAGAUGGAUGAAUGAUGAUGUUGUCCAUUCUGUAGGUUCUUGUUUAUCCAUCGGUCAUCUGCCAUAGUCUAAUCAGCAUUGAAGCAAGAGUACUUGUUCUUGUUCAUUCUUCCCUACUUUCCUCUUAUUGAUCCCAUCAUUCCUUAGACUAGUGACUUAUUACAUUGACCCAGCUAUCGUACCACUUUAGUUUCAUCAACUCAAAGGGACAAGAACAGUGGAUGCUAGAAAUUUAGAUGUACCUAGCUUUGCCUGUAAAUAUAAAGACAUGUUCCUUACAUGAAAUCAAGCAUAAUUGCUGCUAAUAAAGUCAAAAAAAAAAAAAUCUCUCCCUUUCUCACUUGAAGGGCAUUGCAUCAACCUAAAAGCAUGUAUGGCAUCAAGAUCAUUAGGUUGUACAUUGGCACUACAAGAAUCUGUAGUUUGGUUGGUUCAGCCAUUCUGAAGGUUCUAUUAUUUUAGCCAUCACCAACUCAUCUUUCAUGGGCUAAAAAGGACAAAACUAGUACAUGAGGCUCCCUUGAUAAAGGAUCUAUGGGUCAAUGUAUGCAGCCAUGCCCAGUGCUGAGAUGGUUUUCAUGGGUUGAUUAGUCUAAAAAACAACAGUUCAGAUCCUUUGGUUAAAAACUAAACAUUAUUACCCACACUAAACCUAUCCAUCUCUGUAGAUGAGUGGAAGCAUGAAGCAAAAAUUGGCAUGGAUAAGGAUAUUUUAUUAAUUUAAAGUGAGUGCAAGGUAAGUAUGUGGCUUAAAUUUUGGGAAUUUACAGAUGUUGAAUUUUGUUAUUUUUAUUUUUUAAUAUGUAAAUAUUAAGAGAAAGGAAAAGGAAAUACGAAGAAAAAUAAAUCGAAAAAUUGAUUUAAACUGACAUGUAAAGGCUUCUCAGUGGAUUUUUGUGGAGAAAAUCUUGAAAAGGACAUUUGUGAAGAGAUUCUUGAGAAGAGUCACCAAUGUGACAAGUAAAAGUCGGUUUAAGCACAAAAGGUCCCUCAUUUUCAAUCUUCAAUAUUGCCUUGUCCACAAUUCUCCUACC